GACGAACGCUGGCGGCGUGCUUAACACAUGCAAGUCGAACGGAAAGGCCCUGCUUUUGUGGGGUGCUCGAGUGGCGAACGGGUGAGUAACACGUGAGUAACCUGCCCUUGACUUUGGGAUAACUUCAGGAAACUGGGGCUAAUACCGGAUAGGAGCUCCUGCUGCAUGGUGGGGGUGGGAAAGUUUCGGCGGUUGGGGAUGGACUCGCGGCUUAUCAGCUUGUUGGUGGGGUAGUGGCUUACCAAGGCUUUGACGGGUAGCCGGCCUGAGGGGGUGACCGGCCACAUUGGGACUGGGAUACGGCCCAGACUCCUACGGGAGGCAGCGGUGGGGAAUAUUGCACAAUGGGCGGAAGCCUGAUGCAGCAACGCCGCGUGCGGGAUGACGGCCUUCGGGUUGUAAACCGCUUUCGCCUGUGACGAAGCGUGAGUGACGGUAAUGGGUAAAGAAGCACCGGCUAACUACGUG
rnacentral:rRNA from 1 species